UACGUAGGGGGCGAGCGUUGUCCGGAUUCAUUGGGCGUAAAGAGCUCGUAGGCGGCUCGGUAAGUCGUUUGUGAAAUCUCCAGGCUCAACUUGGAGCGUGCAAGCGAUACUGCUGUGGCUUGAGUCCGGUAGGGGACCACGGAAUUCCUGGUGUAGCGGUGAAAUGCGCAGAUAUCAGGAGGAACACCGGUGGCGAAGGCGGUGGUCUGGGCCGGUACUGACGCUGAGGAGCGAAAGCGUGGGGAGCGAACAGGAUUAGAUACCCCCGUAGUCC
rnacentral:rRNA from 1 species